rnacentral:rRNA from 1 species
UGGGGAAUUUUGGACAAUGGGGGAAACCCUGAUCCAGCCAUCCCGCGUGUGCGAUGAAGGCCUUCGGGUUGUAAAGCACUUUUGGCAGGAAAGAAACGUCAUGGGUUAAUACCCCGUGAAACUGACGGUACCUGCAGAAUAAGCACCGGCUAACUACGUGCCAGCAGCCGCGGUAAUACGUAGGGUGCAAGCGUUAAUCGGAAUUACUGGGCGUAAAGUGUGCGCAGGCGGUUCGGAAAGAAAGAUGUGAAAUCCCAGAGCUCAACUUUGGAACUGCAUUUUUAACUACCGGGCUAGAGUGUGUCAGAGGGAGGUGGAAUUCCGCGUGUAGCAGUGAAAUGCGUAGAUAUGCGGAGGAACACCGAUGGCGAAGGCAGCCUCCUGGGAUAACACUGACGCUCAUGCACGAAAGCGUGGGGAGCAAACAGG